AUGAAGAUGACAUGGUGAAGAUGAUCGGAGACGGCGGCUUUGUUUCAGUCUCAGAUUCAACCUGUUCGUGUUUCGGGUGCUCGUCUCGGGUCAACAGUGGUUCUGGUUCGGGUUCAUGGAGUAACUCGAGUCUCGGUUCAAGAUGCUACAAAUUUGUUUCGGUAUGAUGGUUCAGGUUAGGCUAGUUUUGGUUCGGGUUCACGACUCAGUUCGGUGUCGGGUCAGACACACGACUCCGUGGUUAUUAUGGUGGCUUUAUUUCGAGUUCGGGUCCGUGAAGGUGGUUCAAGCUUCAGUUCGGUACAUGUUCAGGCUCGGGGUUAAGUUUGGCUCAAUGGACUCAUGUUCAGUCAACAAAAGUCAGAUCUGAUUUGGUCUAACUCGGGUUGACUCGGUCAAACCGAGUCAACUCAGUGUUCGGGUUAACUCAGUAUGGUUCGACUCGGUCAACGAGUCAAAGCAGUCAACAGAAUAGUUCACGUUUCGACGAUUUCGGUUUCGAAUCUCGGUCAAAGGCAGUCAAGUCAGUCGAGUAUGGUCAAACUCCGAUAACAGUCAAUGCUCAGUCAACUCACAAGAUCCGGAAUGUUGUAGUUGCCGCUAGCUACUUCACGUUCUUGGAAUGACACUACGGAAUCACACUAAGCUAGCUUUGCACAGGAAUGACAAGGUUGCAUUUUCAAAACUAUGAAACGGUUGGAAUAGGAGAACCCAUGGGAAUUCGAGUACUUAG
rnacentral:lncRNA from 1 species